rnacentral:rRNA from 1 species
AGUGAACGCUGGCGGUAGGCCUAACACAUGCAAGUCGAACGGCAGCACAGUAAGAGCUUGCUCUUACGGGUGGCGAGUGGCGGCCGGGUGAGGAAUACAUCGGAAUCUACUUUUUCGUGGGGGAUAACGUAGGGAAACUUACGCUAAUACCGCAUACGACCUACGGGUGAAAGCAGGGGAUCUUCGGACCUUGCGCGAUUGAAUGAGCCGAUGUCGGAUUAGCUAGUUGGCGGGGUAAAGGCCCACCAAGGCGACGAUCCGUAGCUGGUCUGAGAGGAUGAUCAGCCACACUGGAACGGAGACACGGUCCAGACUCCUACGGGAGGCAGCAGUGGGGAAUAUUGGACAAUGGGCGCAAGCCUGAUCCAGCCAUACCGCGUGGGUGAAGAAGGCCGGCGGGUUGUAAAGCCCUUUUGUUGGGAAAGAAAAGCAGCAGGUUGAUACCCCGCUGUUCUGACGGUACCCAAAGAAUAAGCACCGGCUAACUUCG